GACGAACGCUGGCGGCGUGCUUAACACAUGCAAGUCGAGCGGAGCGGCGGACGGGUGAGUAACGCGUGAGUAACUGCCCCCCUCUCUGGGAUAACAGUUGGAUACGGCUGCUAAUACCGGAUAGUGGGGGAUGACUCGCGUGCUAUCAGCUUGUUGGGGGGGUAGUGGCCUACCAAGUCGACGACGGGUAGCCGGCCUGAGAGGGGGACCGGCCACAGUGCGCUACGGGACGGACCAAACUCCAACGGGGGGCAGCAGGUGGGAGUAUUGUGCAAUGGGGGAGAGUGUGAUGCAGCAGCGCCGGGUGCGGGAUGACGGCCUUCGGGUUGGAAACGGCUUUCAGCCAUGACGCGGUAGUGGCAGAAGAAGCACCGGCUAACUACGUGCCAGCAGCCGCGGUAAUUC
rnacentral:rRNA from 1 species